UUAUGCCAUUCUGGCUGGUGCACGUGUGCAUCGUGUCAGGACAUGGGCCUUCACCGCUGAUCGCCCCGAAUGCAGCGUGCGCGUGUCGUGAUAGUCAUUGAUUGAUCGACGUGCUGCACCGUUCCAUUUUUGC
rnacentral:misc_RNA from 1 species